UAAGUGAAGCUUUUGUGGGUCAACCUUUUGUGUUGAAGCUUUUGUGGGUGAAGCUUUUGUGUUUAAGCUUUUGUGGGUGAAGCUUUUGUGUUGAAGCUGUUGUGGGUGAAGCUUUUGUCGGUGAAGCUUUUGUGUGAAGCUUUUGUAGGUGAAGCUUUGGAGUUGAAGCUUUGUAGGUGAAGCUUUGCUAGGUGACGCUUUGGAGUUGAAGCUUUGUAGGUGCAGCUUUGGAGUUGAAGCUUUGUAGGUGAAGCUUUUGUAGGUGAAGCUUUAGAGUUGAAGCUUUGUAGGUGAAGCUUUGGAGUUAAAGCUUUUGUUGGGUA
rnacentral:lncRNA from 1 species